rnacentral:rRNA from 1 species
GCGUUAGUGGCGGACGGGUGAGUAACACGUGAGAAUCUGCCAACAGGACGGGGACAACAGGGGGAAACCGCUGCUAAGACCCGAUAAACCGAAAGGGGAAAAAGAAAUUGCCAGUUGAUGAGCUCGCGUCGGAUUAGCUAGUUGGUAGUGUAAGGGACUACCAAGGCGACGAUCCGUAGCCGGUCUGAGAGGACGAUCGGCCACACUGGGACUGAGACACGGCCCAGACUCCUACGGGAGGCAGCAGUGGGGAAUUUUCCGCAAUGGGCGAAAGCCUGACGGAGCAAGACCGCGUGAGGGAGGAAGGCUCUUGGGUUGUAAACCUCUUUUCUCAAGGAAGAAGAAAUGACGGUACUUGAGGAAUCAGCAUCGGCUAACUCCGUGCCAGCAGCCGCGGUAAUACGGAGGAUGCAAGCGUUAUCCGGAAUGAUUGGGCGUAAAGCGUCCGCAGGUGGCAGUUCAAGUCUGCCGUUAAAGACUCCAGCUUAACUGGAGGAAGGCGGUGGAAACUGAACAGCUAGAGUGCGGUAGGGGCAGAGGGAAUUCCCGGUGUAGCGGUGAAAUGCGUAGAGAUCGGGAAGAACACCAGUGGCGAAAGCGCUCUGCUGGACCGCAACUGACACUCAGGGACGAAAGCUAGGGGAGCGAAUGGGAUUAGAUACCCCAGUAGUCCUAGCCGUAAACGAUGGAUACUAGGUGUUGUGCGUAUCGACCCGCGCAGUGCCGCAGCUAACGCGCUAAGUAUCCCGCCUGGGGAGUACGCACGCAAGUGUGAAACUCAAAGGAAUUGACGGGGGCCCGCACAAGCGGUGGAGUAUGUGGUUUAAUUCGAUGCAACGCGAAGAACCUUACCAGGACUUGACAUGUCCGGAAUCUCGGUGAAAGCUGAGAGUGCCUUCGGGAACCGGAACACAGGUGGUGCAUGGCUGUCGUCAGCUCGUGUCGUGAGAUGUUGGGUUAAGUCCCGCAACGAGCGCAACCCUCGUUUCUAGUUGCCAGCAUUAAGUUGGGCACUCUGGAGAGACUGCCGGUGACAAACCGGAGGAAGGUGGGGAUGACGUCAAGUCAGCAUGCCCCUUACGUCCUGGGCUACACACGUACUACAAUGCUUCAGACAAAGGGCAGCUAGCCAGCGA